AUGCAUGUACAAGUACAAACUUGAAUAAAGUUGAAACCGCAGACGGCUCAUUAAAUCAGUCAUAAAUAAUGAAAUAUCGAAAAAACAGUUACUUGGAUAACUGUGGAAAAUCCAGAGCUAAUACAUGCACUUAAGCUCGGACAAUCGUUGUAACAAACGAUACAGAAGAGCGCAAUUAUUAGAUUUCAAUAAAAGUUAUUUUAUUGGAUGACUCCGGAUAAUCCUAGUCGAGCGCAUAUGAUCUUAGUAUCAGCGCCAUAUUUCAUAAGAGACUGCCUUAUCAGCUUUCGAUUGUAAUUUAAAUGAUUACAAUGGCAAUAACGGGUAACGGGGAAUCAGGGUUCGAUUCCGGAGAGGGAGCCUGAAAAACGGCUACCACAUCUAAGGAAGGCAGCAGGCACGUAAAUUACCCACUCUCAGUUCGAGGAGGUAGUGACGAAAAAUACCGGUGACUUACUCUAAUAAGGGUUUUGUCACCUAAUUAUAAAAGGAAUGAGUUUAUUCUAAAAAUAUAUUCAAUUACCUAUUGGAGGGCAAGUCUGGUGCCAGCAGCCGCGGUAAUACCAGCUCCAAUAGCGUAUAUAAAAGUUGUUGCAGUUAAAAAGCUCCUAAUUGGAAUUUAUAAAAAGCUGAUACAUAAUCAAAUUAGACGAUGUAUCAUAUGUGAACUAUAUUAAUGCGAUUGAGUAAUUAGUAUGUCUUAGUGCAAACUUUGAUUGAAAAUUACUCUUAUUCGUAUGAUAUAAAGUAAUGUAU
rnacentral:rRNA from 1 species